GAAGUGUGCUCAGAGCAGAAGGCCUGAGGAAAUGUUUCUUCCACUUAUAAUACAUCCAACAUAAAUCUGAGUUGUUUAUAAGGGGCAAAAAUUGUGGUCUUCUAUAAAGAAGUACCCUACACAU